UUGCCGCGCGCCCGUCGCUACCCCCUCAUCUGGAGCCCGGGCCUCGCCGCGUGCCCGCUGCUGCCCUCUGGCAGAGGCCUGGGAGGAUGCGGGUGAGCAGCUUGCCUGCCUUUGAGUCCCAUCCGUGAUCACUUUUUCCCGUGAGCAAAGGAAAUUGAGGCUAAAGGACUCAGUGGCCGCCUCUGGAAUCCGUGUGUUGGAGUGCUGCUCAUGGAUUAACCAGACUGGAUGGUUUCAGGGUGUGCAGGGUGCGCUCGAUUCGGAUGCUUCUGGACCGUCGGAAGUACCUCCUUUGGAAACACCCAUCCCCUCUUUGGGCGUCAGAGGCCCAGAGGGAGGCGCAAGGAUGAGAGGAUGUGGUGGUCCACUCUGAUGGCUAUCUUGAGGGCUAGUGCCCAGAAGUGCAUCCUGGAUGAAUAUUUGUGAAAUGAACAAGUAAAGGCAAAGGUAUGGAUGAAGUCACUCAGGCAAAAUGUAUAAGGUAAACAGAGAAGAUAUCCAAUCUAUGCUUUCACUGGAGGUUCAAGCACCUCAACAUGACUUAUAAGCAGGGUGACUAUAAGUUCCACUUUGCUCAGAACAGACCCGGUUUACUCCUGUUAUCU